rnacentral:rRNA from 1 species
UACGUAGGGUGCAAGCGUUGUCCGGAAUUAUUGGGCGUAAAGAGCUCGUAGGCGGCUUGUCACGUCGGGUGUGAAAACCCGGGGCUUAACCCCGGGUCUGCAUUCGAUACGGGCAGGCUAGAGUGUGGUAGGGGAGAUCGGAAUUCCUGGUGUAGCGGUGAAAUGCGCAGAUAUCAGGAGGAACACCGGUGGCGAAGGCGGAUCUCUGGGCCAUUACUGACGCUGAGGAGCGAAAGCGUGGGGAGCGAACAGG